GGAGCUACAUCUCAUCGGCUCGAUGUAAGAGCAUGGAACCGCUUUAGUUAUUUUAACAAAAUAACGAUAACCACGGUUGCAAUGGAGAGCAUCCAGAAUCUCCCAAUUGACAUCCAAACCAGUAAACUUUUAGACUGGUUGGUGGACCAGAGGCACUGCACGCUGAAAUGGCAAAGUGCAGUUACAACAAUUAGAGAGAAAAUCAGUGCUGCCAUUCAGGAUAUGCCAGAGAAUGAGGACAACAAACAUUUGCUCUCUGGCUCAUAUCGAAGCUGACAUCUCAAAAAGAUACAACAACCGGCCUGUCAACCUCAUGGGAGUUCAUGUGUGACCAGGAAGAGUAUUUACAUACUGCACAGAUGUAUAAUUUCAUAAAUAUAUUUUUACCAUUUAAAUUGGGAUGGUAAUUGUUUUGUGGUGAUUCCUUUUUAUGGUGGAAUAUUCAAAGAAGGCUGUAAAUAACUUGCGCUUACACAGCUGGCCUCAUUAGUCUGAAGUGCUGAAUUCAGUAAAUGAACUGUCUUAAGAGGCCAACAUUUAAAUAUACAA